rnacentral:rRNA from 1 species
UACGGAGGAUCCAAGCGUUAUCCGGAUUUAUUGGGCUUAAAGGGUGCGUAGGCGGCCUUGUAAGUCAGGGGUGAAAGACGGUAGCUCAACUAUCGCAGUGCCCUUGAUACUGCAGGGCUUGAAUACACUAGAGGUAGGCGGAAUGUGACAAGUAGCGGUGAAAUGCAUAGAGAUGUCGCGGAACACCGAUUGCGAAGGCAGCUUACUAGGGUACAAUUGACGCUGAGGCACGAAAGCGUGGGGAUCAAACAGG